GCUUGUCUCAAAGAUUAAGCCAUGCAUGUCUAAGUAUAAACAAAUUUAUAGUGAAACUGCGAAUGGCUCAUUAUAUCAGUUAUAGUUUAUUUGGCGAUAAAAACUACUUGGAUAACCGUAGUAAUUCUAGAGCUAAUACAUGCAUCAUCCCCCAUCUCGGGGUGUAUUUAUUAGAUAAAGAACCAAUCCAUGCUUGCAUGGUUUUGUGGUGAUUCAUAAUAACUGAUCGAAUCGCAUGCCUUCGGGCGGCGAUGUAUCAUUCAAGUUUCUGACCUAUCAGCUUCCGACGGUAGGGUAUUGGCCUACCGUGGCAAUGACGGGUAACGGGGAAUUAGGGUUCGAUUCCGGAGAGGGAGCCUGAGAAACGGCUACCACAUCUAAGGAAGGCAGCAGG
rnacentral:rRNA from 1 species